CCUACGGGCGGCAGCAGUGAGGAAUAUUGGUCAAUGGCCGGAAGGCUGAACCAGCCAAGCCGCGUGAAGGACGAAGGUGCCAAGCAUUGUACACUUCUUUUGUCAAGGGACAAAAUCAGGCGCGCGAGCAUGACCGAGGGUACUUGAAGCAAAAGCAUAGGCUAACUCCGUGCCAGCUGCCGCGGUAAUACGGAGGAGGCGAGCGUUAUCCGGAUUUAUUGGGUUUAAAGGGUGCGUAGGCGGGCUGUUAAGUCAGCGGUAAAAGCCCGGGGCUCAACCCCGGCGAGCCGUUGAAAAUGGCUGUCUUGAGAUGGCGAGAGGUAUGCGGAAUGCGCAGUGUAGCGGUGAAAUGCGUAGAUAUUGCGCAGAACUCCGAUUGCGAAGGCAGCAUACCGGCGGCGAUCUGACGCUGAGGCACGAAAGCGUGGGGAGCGAACAGGAUUAGAUACCCCAGUAGUC
rnacentral:rRNA from 1 species